AUUGAACGCUGGCGGCAGGCCUAACACAUGCAAGUCGAGCGGAUGAAGGGAGCUUGCUCCUGGAUUCAGCGGCGGACGGGUGAGUAAUGCCUAGGAAUCUGCCUGGUAGUGGGGGAUAACGUCCGGAAACGGGCGCUAAUACCGCAUACGUCCUAAGGGAGAAAGUGGGGGAUCUUCGGACCUCACGCUAUCAGAUGAGCCUAGGUCGGAUUAGCUAGUUGGUGGGGUAAAGGCCUACCAAGGCGACGAUCCGUAACUGGUCUGAGAGGAUGAUCAGUCACACUGGAACUGAGACACGGUCCAGACUCCUACGGGAGGCAGCAGUGGGGAAUAUUGGACAAUGGGCGAAAGCCUGAUCCAGCCAUGCCGAGUGUGUGAAGAAGGUCUUCGGAUUGUAAAGCACUUUAAGUUGGGAGGAAGGGCAGUAAGUUAAUACCUUGCUGUUUUGACGUUACCAACAGAAUAAGCACCGGCUAACUUCGUG
rnacentral:rRNA from 1 species